rnacentral:rRNA from 1 species
ACGAACGCUGGCGGCAUGCCUAACACAUGCAAGUCGCACGAGGCCUUCGGGUCUAGUGGCGCACGGGUGCGUAACGCGUGGGAACCUGCCCUUAGGUUCGGAAUAACUCCCCGAAAGGGGUGCUAAUACCGGAUAAUGUCUUCGGACCAAAGAUUUAUCGCCUUUGGAUGGGCCCGCGUUGGAUUAGCUAGUUGGUAGGGUAAAAGCCUACCAAGGCGACGAUCCAUAGCUGGUCUGAGAGGAUGAUCAGCCACACUGGGACUGAGACACGGCCCAGACUCCUACGGGAGGCAGCAGUGGGGAAUAUUGGACAAUGGGCGAAAGCCUGAUCCAGCAAUGCCGCGUGAGUGAUGAAGGCCUUAGGGUUGUAAAGCUCUUUUACCCGGGAUGAUAAUGACAGUACCGGGAGAAUAAGCUCCGGCUAACUCCG